ACAGCACAUCAACUUCAUCCCAGGUCCAUGUUCUGCUGUACUUAGUACCCUAGUAGAGGGUAACCGAAUGGCAACAAAUUAAAUGGUAAAUUAGGCAGAUAAAAAGGGCAGAGGGGUUGGAGUCAGGACUGCCUAAACACUUAACCCAUAUGCUGUUAAGCUUUUUUUCACAUAAACAACAUUAAGCACCGUAAGCAUGGUGGCAAGCCCUUUAGAUAACCUAUGGAAUAGUUCACAUCCUUCCUUUCCCCAUAAAAACUGGCACAGUUGUGAGAAGUACUCCAGGGCCCCAAAAAGAGUGACCCUGCUAGGGCAGUGGAGGCUAUUUCCCUCCAGGGCUGGAUCCUGGAUGGAGUGGGGCUUAUGCAGAUCACCCUGCAGAGGAAAGGAGGAGGAGGAGAGAGAGACAGAGAUGAGGGCCUAAAUGUAGAUAUUGUACCUUUUACAGUUGCAGGUUCAGACUGCAGAGUCCCGGACAGAUCCCCACUAAAGGGCUGGGUAAACGGCCUGAAACCUCCUCUCAAUUUCAGAUGCCCUCCUGCCAAUCAGCUGACUCCAAGUGGAGCAAAGCCCAGGUCUUGACAUAGAUACAGAUACCAUACAUGCCCAGAUGAUGUCACAAGCAGCUAUAUGUAAACAGAGCAGAGGUCAGGUGACAUCACAGAACAGGCAGAGGCAGUUCAGGGGGUAUUCUGGUUGCCUUACCCAGCUCUGAAGUCUGUCAGCCUCUUCAGAUGUCACUUGCCCUGUGGUAAGGAAGUGUAGUCAGCACCUGGUGCAGUGGCAAGAAGAGAAAGGAAGUUCCCCAAGACAGAAACAUCUCAGCAGUGAGUUCCUGAUGAGGGAAGGGAAGUGAAUCCUAAGAACAAUCAUGUGAGUUUGGAAGGAGACCCUUCCCCAGCUGAGCCUCAGCCUGAGCCAUCACCUACAUCUAGACCGAAGACCCAGAGAAACCGUGAGUAAUAUGUGUGUGGUUCUGAGCCACUAAGGUACGUACUAAUUUGUUAUGCACCAAGUAGUAAGUAAUAUACUUGACAGUAAUUGUAAGGUGGUAUUCUGGAUUAGGUCCUGGAAUAGAUAAGUAUAUGAUUAUUAAAAAACCUGGUAAAAUAUGAAGGAAGUUUGUAGAUCAGUUAAUAAUCUCGAAAAACAGUUAAAUUCUUAGUUUUCAUGAAUAUGCUAUGGUUAUAAUAUAUAUUAACAUUCUAGUUAGCUGAAUGGUAUAUGAAACUGUCUGUACUUACCUAUGUGCAUUUAUGUAAAUCUGCAGUUAUUUCAAAAUAAAUAUGUUUUUUAAUAUUAUUAUUAUUUUUUUAAGAAAAGUAAGCAAGUAAAGACAUCAGCAAAAAACUUUUGCCUCCAGAUACAAGUGGGCAUGUAGGGAGAGAAUAGUAAACUGGCUUUUCUUUUCUAGGCAACAUUCGAAACCCAGGUGCCACUCCUUCAGGAAGGUACCAUCAAGCUCCAAGGACUCUUAUCCUCUUUCUCCUUCCCCACUACCUAGUCAUUAGAGCGUCAGCAUCCACUUCUUGAAAGGAAGAUGCCUGUUUUUCACAUAUCCCAGAAAACCCCAUUUUAGGACAGCAUUUAGCAGAGUAUAUUCAGGAUCCCACUAACCUUUUUGGAAGACAUGACUUCCAGAUGAUAUAAGGCAAGAAUAAGAAAUUUCAGUGACAGGGAACAGAAAUCAUAUUUCUGCAUUCAGGAUCAUGUUUUCUUGGCUCCAUCAGGAACUGUGCAGGACUGUGCACUCUGUUGAUACUCACAUGGUGGAAUUAUAUUGCCUUUGGCCAACCCUAAAGCCAUCAAGAUAGCAGGUCUGGUCUACCGAGAAGAGAGAUCAAAGAGCUCUUCAGCUGUUCCCAGCUCCCCACACAAAUCUACCUAACAAAGUCCCGAUAAACAGUCUGUUUUCUGGAGUCUAUCAAUACUGAUGAGGUCUUGUUCUUUUGGCCAGGCUGGAGUGCAGUGGUACAGUCGUGACUCACUGCAGCUUCAAACACCUGGGUUCCAGCAUUCAUCCCACUUCAGCCUCCCGUGUAGCCGGGACUACAGGUAUGAAAUAAUUUCCUAUUGAAGUCAUCUUAACAUGGAACCAGAAUUAAAUCCUAACAACAAUCAUGUGAGCCUGGGGAGGAUCCUUCCCCACGUGAGCCUUCAGGGGAGACUUCAGCCUUGGCCAUCUUCUCCAUCUAGAUUCCUGACCAAGAGAAACUGACCAUAUAUUCUGUUGCUCUUCACAUCUUGGAAUUAUAUUGUCCAUUUCCAGGGUCAAAGACCACAGAAUAAAUGUCAUCCUGGCAGCAGAAACAGGUUCUAAGUAUGUUGCCCAAGCUGGUCCUGAACUCCUAGCCUCAAGUAAUCCUCCUGCCUCAACCUACCAAAGCAUUGGGAUUACAAGUUUGACCCACCAUGAUCAGUCCAGGGUAGGAAAUGGAAUCUUAACAACUGUCACGUGAGCUUUGAGGGAAUCCUUCUCCAGAUGAGCCUUCAGUUGAGACCUCAGCCUUGGACAUCAUCUACAUCUGGAUUCCUGACCCAGAGCAACUGCAUGCGUAUAUUAUACCAGCUUCCGGGGAGGCUGACUUGGGAGGAUUGCUUGAGCCCAGGAGUUCCAAACUGAAGUGAGCCAUGAUUGUGUCACUGCACUCCAGCUUGGGAAACAGAGGGAGAUCAAGACUCAAAAAAAAAUUGGCCUCAGAAGAUGAAUGGACAUGGAGAAAAAAAAUAGCCAAGCAGAUUUCCGCAUACAUUUACCCUUCCAUACAUACAUCCAUCUACUUCAGGAAGCCACUAUCAAACUCAAGGAACUCUUGUCCAUAUUUGACCUCCCCAUCACACUCUUUAUUACCAAGUAACUCGUUUGAGUGUCAGUAACCUCUCUGUUUUCAGAGAUAUUUGCCUAUGCCUCACAAAUCCCAGAAAGGCCCAUUUUCAGAUAUCAUUUAGGAACAUAUCUACAUGAUCCCACUGAACAUAUUUUGGCAGACAAAGUUUCUGGAUGCCAAAGACCAAGAUUGAGGAAUGUUAGUGAGAAGAAAUAUAAAUUAUAUUUUCAUAUUUUUUUUUAUUA